GCCCUUCUAGUAUAAUCAUUACAAUUGACUUCCAAUCUCUAAAAUCUGGUACAACCCCAGAGAUGGGCA
rnacentral:tRNA from 2 species